ACUGAAAAGCUGAGUUUGGAAGGCAGACUACAAAGAGUGAGGUUCACCAUCAUGGCCACUCCCACUCCCCGACACUGACAUUUACCUUCAUGCCUUUGGGCCUUUGUCCUGAUCCUGAAAGAUUUUCUGACCAGACUGGACAAGGAAGAGGGAACCAGAUGACAACCCUCACCUCCCUCAUGGUCAGGCAAUAGCCCUCACUUCACCAGCCCACCAGCAGGAGAAUCUCAAGCUGGAGCAGCAAUGUGAGCUGGUGCCUGGCUUCCAACCUUCUUGGUGACAGGUGGAGCAGCAGUAGCGGGGCGGCCUGGCUUCCAGGCGCCCCAGGAAGCGAUGAGCCAGAAAAGCCGCCAG